rnacentral:lncRNA from 1 species
GAGCUGUCCCCUCUUCCAUGGUCAUAAAUUAAACCACCCUGCCCACAAGAGUUCUGAUUUAGUUGCAGUCACUGUUAUUUUUUUCCCCUCAACUUCCUAAGAGUAUUAGAAGAAAGAAGUUUGCCUUGGUGAUUUUAGUGUGGAUCAUAUUUCACAUUGUAAUAAUUUCCCUUUGCUAAUAACCAGCAUGGUUCUUUCUAUCCUUACACCAUUGAGUAUCCUGCAGAAAUGCAGGUGGCAGCUUCAGUUCAAGGUAGAGGCUUCAAGGAAGCCAGUGAUGCGAAGUGAAUAAAAAAAAAAAAAAAUCACCAUUCACAUCAACUUCCAAGCAGUCUUUGCAUAAUGAUUACUUGUUACAGUGGGUCAAUUAUUACUUAUUCCCCAUGCCCCUUCUUUUCUGCCUCAGUGAAGUAAAAAUCCCCAGGCUGCAUUCAGUGUCUCUUUAGCAAAGUACAGUACCCCAUAUGAAGUGUACAGCCAAUGUCCUUGCAUAUCUUACUCUAUGCAAAUGUUUUCUUCCUCGCUUAUAUGUCUGAUAUCAUGUUGCUAUUCCAUGUGUGUAAGAGUAAGACAACUUACCACAACAUGGUUAUGAUCCACUCAUAGAAUCAUAGAUUUUUCAAGGCUUUCUGUGUUACAUGCAUGUUGUUUGAUUCUGAAAUAGAUAUUAAAAAUUAAUAUUUAAAUCUUGGAGAGGAGGGAAGAGAAGUUUGAAGAUAAGAAUGUUUGUUACUGAAGGUGGUUCAACAAUGUAUGAGGUGCAGAGUUAAUAGGUAACCUUUUGACAUCUUCUCCACAGAUUGGUUUUUCCCCUCGACAUGCAUAUUUCUUCAUCAUUAUGGUACGAGUCUUCAAAAACCAGGCUUUUUAUUUUUAAGACAAGCCAUCUCACACUCUAUUGAACAGACAAGAGAGAUUCAAAUCAAUCUCCCAAUUUUAGGCUCUGAUGCUCUGAUAUAAACAUGGAGUUUGAAUACAUUGAAGGAGGUUGUGUGGUUAGAGGCAGAUACCUUAGUAGAAAGUUAAGGGACUCAUCAUUGAUGAGGAAUUCUGUGGGGUGAUUGGUCAGAUUUGAUUGUCUUCUUCCUUUUAUUAGCCUUUUGAGAGAUAGUAGAACAUGUUUUGAUUAUAUUUAAGUCCGCUGUCCAUCUCUUCC